rnacentral:rRNA from 1 species
GUUAAAAAGCUCGUAGUUGGAUUUCGGAGUGGGCCAGUUGGUCCGCCGCAAGGUGUGUUACUGACUGGUCUGCUCUUCUUCGCAAAGACUGCGUGUGCUCUUUGUUGAGUGUGCGUAGGAUUUACGACGUUUACUUUGAAAAAAUUAGAGUGUUCAAAGCAGGCUAUUGCUUGAAUACAUGAGCAUGGAAUAAUGGAAUAGGACUUUGGUCCCAUUUUGUUGGUUUCUAGGACCGAAGUAUGAUUAAGAGGGACAAUUGGGGGCAUCCGUAUUUCGUUGUCAGAGGUGAGAUUCUUGGAUUUACGAAAGACGAACAACUGCGAAAGCACUUGCCAAGAGUGUUUUCAUUAAUCAAGAACGAAGGUUAGAGGAUCGAAGACGAUCAGAUACCGUCCUAGUUCUAACCAUAAACGAUGUCGACUAGGGAUCAGCGGGCGUUAUCGUACGACCCCGUUGGCACCUUACGGGAAACCAAAGUUUCUGGAUUCCGGGGGAAGUAUAGUCGCAAGGCCGAAACUUAAAGGAAUUGACGGAAGGGCACCACCAGGAGUGGAGCCUGUGGCUCAAUUUGACUCAACAC